rfam:Daucus carota subsp. sativus cultivar DH1 chromosome 4, whole genome shotgun sequence.
AAAUGGCUUAGUUAGGAGGCACAUAUUAAAACGUCGAUGCGGUAGUGUUUUAUUACCAGCGUCUUGUUACUCAGGUCUCUUGAGGGGAUUAUUUGCCGUUAUCAAUCUUCCUCCAAGCAACCUUAGACAUGU